rnacentral:rRNA from 1 species
UCUGGUUGAUCCUGGCAGAGGCUAUUGCUAUCAGGGUUUGACUAAGCCAUGCGAGUCGAGAGGUGAAAGACCUCGGCAUACUGCUCAGUAACACGUGGAUAAUCUGCCCUCAGAAGAAGAAUAAUCCCGGGAAACUGGGGCUAAUACUUCAUAGGAGACGGGUGCUGGAAUGCUCUGUCUCUGAAAGGUCCGCCGUCUGAGGAUGAGUCUGCGUCCGAUUAGGUUGUUGUUGGGGUAACGGCCCAACAAGCCUUUGAUCGGUACGGGUUGUGGGAGCAAGAGCCCGGAGAUGGAUUCUGAGACAUGAAUCCAGGCCCUACGGGGCGCAGCAGGCGCGAAAACUUUACAAUGCGAGCAAUCGUGAUAAGGAAACCCUGAGUGCCUGUCAACGCAGGCUGUUCUGGUGUCUAACACACACCAUGAGAAAGGGCGGGGCAAGACCGGUGCCAGCCGCCGCGGUAAUACCGGCUGCUCGAGUGAUAGCCACUUUUACUGGGCUU